UUCCCGUACGAUCACCGAAGUUAAGCAACGUCGAGCCUGAUCAUUAUAUGGAUGGGUGACCACUUUGGAAUACCAGGUGCUGUAA